AUUGUUGAGGCACAGGGUAGGGGAGGCUAGGAGGUAGACCAGAGUGGGAAAGAGGCCCAAACAACUAGUUUCUAGUUCUGGUUCUGUCACUAGUAGAGAUGGGGUUUCACCAUGUUGGCUAUGCUGGUCUCGAGCUCCUGGCCUCAAGCAGUUCCGCCUGCCUCGGCCUCCCAAAGUGCUGGGAUUUCAGAUUGACUUGGACAAGGCUACUGCAGCAUUCAUUUUGGAAGAAAGCUUUUGCUGGAGCAGAUCAGGAAUCAAGCGUCGAAGAUCUCAGUCUCAGCAGAAACACUAUGGAGUGUUCUGGGCCACAAGAUUCCAAGGAGCUUUUGCAGAACUCUCAGAGUAGACAAGCAAAAGGGCACAAGAGUGGUCAACCACUAGGUCACUCUUUCAGACUAGAAAAUCCAACUGAGUUUCGGCCUAAGAGUACUCUUGAGGGUCAAUUGAAUGAAUCCAUGUUUCUUCUCAGUUCUCGUCCUACUCCCAGAACU
rnacentral:lncRNA from 10 species